GAUGAACGCUGGCGGCGUGCCUAACACAUGCAAGUCGAGCGAACAGACGAGGAGCUUGCUCCUCUGACGUUAGCGGCGGACGGGUGAGUAACACGUGGAUAACCUACCUAUAAGACUGGGAUAACUUCGGGAAACCGGAGCUAAUACCGGAUAAUAUAUUGAACCGCAUGGUUCAAUAGUGAAAGACGGUUUUGCUGUCACUUAUAGAUGGAUCCGCGCCGCAUUAGCUAGUUGGUAAGGUAACGGCUUACCAAGGCAACGAUGCGUAGCCGACCUGAGAGGGUGAUCAGCCACACUGGAACUGAGACACGGUCCAGACUCCUACGGGAGGCAGCAGUAGGGAAUCUUCCGCAAUGGGCGAAAGCCUGACGGAGCAACGCCGCGUGAGUGAUGAAGGUCUUCGGAUCGUAAAGCUCUGUUAUUAGGGAAGAACAAAUGUGUAAGUAACUAUGCACGUCUUGACGGUACCUAAUCAGAAAGCAACGGCUAACUACGUG
rnacentral:rRNA from 1 species